UUCGGGGAAUUAUGACCUUAUGUACUUGGCCGGUAUGAAACUGGCAGCUGGAAACUCUUCACUUCAACGGAAACUUACCCUCCAACUCUGCCCCAACUCCCUAAGCACUGAGGAAACCAGUAAAACCUUGAAUGGAACUUUCACUUACAUCGGUUUCUGAUCCUGCAGACAAACAAGCAAGAAGUUCACUUUAAGUUGAGCCAACAAAGACAGAUGACUUGAGAACAGUACUAUUUUAUGCUGCUGACUUGCGCCUUAACAGCUUUACCGACACAGUGGAAAUCCAAUCUUCUUCAAGAAGAACUGUUUCUAUACGAGACUCAACAUCAUUUGCUUAUAAUCUAGCUUCGGAUCCUGAUCCUGAUCGCGCGGAUGAUUAAGAUUCAGCUCCUGCUUAUACUUAUAAUUUAGACUCCACCUCAGCCUCCGCAGUUUCUAAUUAUGUCUUCACAUUCUUUCCCUUUUCUGUCGAACUCAACUCUAACUGCUGCUGCACUGGCGAAGUAAACCCCUAAACUGACUGCUUUCAUUCAAGUAAACUAACUCAAGUGAGCUCUCUUAUUACGGAGUCUAUUCUGCCUUACGAACGCUACCUUCGGGUCAAGAUCAGAACUCGCUUGUUUUGAAUUGAGCUGACAUUAUUCUUAGACUUAUUGAAUUCACACUAACACUAACAAAGUCAAGGGAAAAAUCCAAUCAUGGAAUUUGAGAACUAACAGUGAGUAAGCCGACGAAGAAAAAACUCCCUAUGAAAGAAAGCUCGCGUAAGCACAAUGUAUUGUUGCGACUGUGGCAAGUAAAGGAAAACCUGUUAAUUGAAUUGACGCUGAACUGCUUGCAACAUGGAAUUUCUCAUUUCUAUCUAUAAUAGUGACUUGGCUCUUUAUCAGAUUCUUAUAGGAGAACUUCAACUCUUCCUCGAACAGGCAAGCAACUACGGUGACUUCUUUCUAUUAUACCCCCUAAGGCUAGGCACACCUAUAAGGCACCAGUGGAUCUGAACUCAACCCUGAACUGAAGCGGGAAGGAAAGAAUAUAGUCGAGUUGGGUUUUGUCUUAGAGAAUGAAGCCUUUGAUCUGAUUCUCUUUCUGUUCACCUAGGCCUAGUGCGCGUUAGCAGAGGAUGCCUCUAUUCGUUCAAGAGACAGUGUACAAACCAACCCGGAAAGCAUAUAUUUGUUUUGGUCGGGGCACAAGAUAGGUAGAUUAGCCAUUCAAUGAAUUUGAUUAGUUAACAGUCAAAACAAGGCGAUCAUAAAGAUUACCUAAGCUCCCUUAGCGCUAAACUCCAAUCUGUAUUUCUUCAUUAAAGCUUGAACCCCAAAAGAGAUUAUGAGACUUAUUAACUUACCGUACUUCGAGCGUAUUAACAAACCAAACAAAGUAGGGCAAUUAACUACUCAAUUCUGUGUGAAGUCAACAAAGAAUUAAUUGAAUCUAUAUCGCCUAGCAUAGAUAGAACUCUGAGUCAAAAGAACUCUCCAGGGCAGCACGCAUCUCUUCUUAACCGCUACACAGCUUCAGAUCGAGCCGACUCACCCGACCAAGCAAACCUGAGCUUAGUAGCCGAAAAGAACCACUUCAAUUCUAUCUUAUAAUAUAAUAGAACUAGAAUAUAGGAAGGUACAACAGGUACAUGAAUAGUUGGACCCGUGAUUGAGAUGGAAAGUGCCAAUGUACAAUCAAUGGAUUUCUUACUAAAAUCAAAAGAUGGGUUUCGAGCCCCAACCCCUUAAAGUAGUGGUCUAAGUAGGGUGGGUUCAGUGAGUUUGACGGUGAAGGAAGUAUCUACCUUAUCCAACUAACCGUGCCUCUUCCCAUGUCCCUUAAUAUAGGCUUCAUUAAUGUAGCACUGUCCCUUAAUAUAGGCUUCAUUAAUAUAGCAUAGGAUCCAUCCGCCUAAAUUCCAUUCUGACUCUAUGGGUGGAGUAAACCAUUUAUUUGAUUGAUAUAUAAAGAAUUGGGUAACCCAGGAGAGGAGAGGGCACUUCUUCAUUUGAAAGGGAACCCUCCAACUUGAACUUGAAUGACUCAUACUCACUCCUAACUCUGUAAGCGCAAGGACGAACUCAAAACUCGCUUGUGGAAUUCCAUUGAACUGAAUAACUCACUAACGUCAAUGAGGACAGGACUGGAACUAGACUUUCUGCGCACCCCAACCCGGAGACUUCUUUAUUGCUCGACGCACCUAAACUUGUUUCUUGAACUCUACUUGCAGAAGUGCACUAAACUUUACUUCCUUGCUUCAGAUCAGAGAACAGGAACAGCCCAUUCUCUAAGAUAUGAUGAAAGUCGAACAGAGAUUUCAGAACGAUUGUCUUUCUAAGCCCGAAAACGGAUUGAACUGCUCCUGUGUUUGCAACUUUCGGAAUGAGUUUAGAGCGAGCAGCAGAUCAAACUGUUCCUACUCUGCUUAAAGAAGGAGUGAAGAGAUAGAUUAUACAGCUCCUUAACGACUUUAGGAAUGAGUUGAAUCUAUUGCACCGAGGAAACCAUGAAUUGAAGUUAGUCCAUCAGAUUGCCAACUCACUUUGACCACUGAGUCUGCUCUUGAAACUGCUUACACAGAUGACUUUCUAACUGUCUAUUUUGCUGCGGACUUUUGCACUCCACUUUCGUACACAAACUUCGCUGAAAAGCCUUGGUAUUUACAUCUUCGCAAGGAGAGGAGAGCCUCCAUUUUCUGAUGAUUCUGCCCUUCCUUCACUACUACUUGGGGCUGUAAACCUAGAUUUCUCAUCUACAGACCUAUGUGAAAUUCAUUUGAUAGGGAAUACCCGAUUGCUGUUGACUUUCUAACAGGACAUUAUACAGCUGACUGGAGUUACUAUAUCUCUAUUAGGGAAUCAGAGUAAUGAGCUAGGGUCUGCUAGAAGAAUGGAAUGGAAUAAUAUAAUAGUAGAAGAAUGGAAUGGAAUAAGAUGAUAAUAGCCUAACUGGCAUUAGGAAGUCCGACAAGCAACGGCAAGUAGUAGAGACUCAACGGAACUUCCCGUUCCCGCUUCGCUUCAAUUGGACGACUACGUUUAAGUACUAGUUGGGGCAUUGAACAGUACUUGCUUAUGACUUGUACGGAAAAGGGAAAACUCUACUUAAGACUUAACUGCAACACCAACACCACCGCUUGCUACUGACCUAAUACUCUCUGAACCAACAACACCAGAAUCUCUCUGUUGCUUCACAUAUUUACUCCUACAGUUGCUCACAAGAACGGAGCCGCCCUUCUUUCAUUCUGUAGCAGUGGAUAUGAGAUACGAGAUAUAUAGGGUAUACAGUAAUAUAAUAAAACAAUGACUAUAACCAGAAUGGAACUACCAGAAAACGGACUAUAACUACAGUCUCUGAGACUUAAGACUCGUCUACCUUAAUUCUUCCAGUGGGGAGUUCACUCUCAGCCUGACUUGACUUUCUAUCAGCCUUAGUUCCCUUUCCUUAAAGUCUGCCUUCUUGGACUCGGAUUCUUUAACUAUCCCCUAUGGAGGUAUGUCUUUCUUUUCUCUUAAACUACUACUGCCUACCCUAAUUCUGAUUCUAUUGUUUCACUCUGUCUUUUCUGUCUCUAGGGCUCCCUCCCUUUAGUUGAAGUAUGAUUCCUCUGCUAAUAAGAAAUGCACCACUACAUAUGAGGAUGAAAACACUGCUAACAGGGAUGGAACUACCACGAACAGGAAUACACCAAAUACCGAAAGAAUGGAACUCGGGCAACAAACUCAGAUUCCUCUGCUAAUAAGAAUAGAGCUACUACUGAUGGGAACGAAACAAGUAAGUAAAAGAGUUUGAGCUGGGCAAUACUAUGACUCCUUCCUCUUGGCCUACCUCUCCUUCCUUUUAGUAGAGUUUAAGUAUCAGUGAACUAAGGCCCUAAUACAUAAUUAUCGUGCACCCAAGAAUGGAAUUGAGCAGUCGCAGAAUGUGGCUACUAAGAACAAUAAUAAAACAAAGAACUAAUGGAAGCACUCAGAAUUGAACUACUCACUACCAGAAUUGACCUCCUUCUUGACCAACCCUAUCUCUGUUUCUUGCCUACCUACCUAGUGCUGUUUCCUUCCAUUAAUAGCACUCUCACUAUAUAGCUGAGUAAGCCCAAGCCUUAUUCUCUAUGCCUAUGUCCAAGCCUUGCUCUUUUCCUUGUGGUUGAGUCAGCCUUUCCUGUCAGUAAGUGUCUUCACUAUGCUUUUCAUUCUGCAAUUGCUUAUUUCGGUAUUGUAUAUAAUAUUCUCUUAAUGUUGAUUAGGGAAAUUGGGUCUCAAAAAGGCGAGUGGUUUUCUAUUCCAUUGAGAACUGUUGUUUCGGGUGUUAAGUAAACAUCACUCUAGGAAUUAAAGACAGAAGCCGGGAUCCCACUAGUGUUUCUAAAGCUUUAACCCACUAGCAAGACUCCACGAUAUGCAGGCUUAACCACCGUGGCUCGGGUAGCUAACAGUGUGGAUGUAUGCUCUUGACUCUUUAGGUCAAGCUAUUCCUUUAGUUUGUUUAGAUACAACUGCUUAGAUUCGUAGGUUAGCUUAGUAUAUGCUUUAUUGUAGCUCUACCAUUGAAAAACCACUUCUCUGACUUGAAUUCAGUAGUUCGUUUUUUGUCUUGUAGCUACUAUCGAUAUGCUAUGUAAGUGAUAGAAGUGAUGCUAUUAAUUGGAAUUCCUUGCUAAGCACUCAGUGCGCUCAGGGCUUGUUAGACUCUUCGCAAUCGAGGCAGCUAUUACGGAAGAAGAUUUAGGGGUACCCAGGAGACAAAGAGUACUCUGUGCCGGCUUAGACCUGCAACUACUGCUUAUCCUUUGCUUGUGGUAGCUGUCCUCGUAUAAACACCGCUUCGUUCCUAACGAAGCCAUUACCUGUAACCACAUCAUCGAACCUCCUGUACCACAAGAAAGAGGGAGACUUAUUUGCCCAUACUAGCAAGGAUUUCUCCAAUCGACAAACCAACCUUGUUCUAUGAUCCUGCUAUGACCAUGAGGCUACUCUAUAUGGAUCUCCUCAAAUCAAUAUCCUGGAGCGGAAAGCAGUGCUGUCUUCACUCCGGUUUUGCUCUAAAUCAAGUGAUGCUGCUAGUUAGAUCAGAACCUUAAUAGUUUUUAGCUUCACUCAAGUGGUAGGGUCUCAGGAUGACUCGAGUGGACCUCCUAAGAGGCUCUGGCUCCUUAACAGUGGGAAACAAAAGACCCUUUAUUCGUACAGAGCUAGCAUAGGUUUUAUGCACAGGACAGAGCUAGCAUAGGUUUUAUGCACAGGGUUACAGGAGUAGCGAAAGACUGAGCUCGCUCAUGCUCUCAUGCUUCACACAAGCCCAGUAUAGAAAGCUUUUAUUUCCAACCAUAUCAUAUGUAUUCUCCGAUCAAAGAACUAAACAACAGGGAAGGCUUUCCAAGAUUGCUUCCAAGGCGAGGGCUCGGCACAAUUAACUAGUUUCUCGACUUACUUAAGAACUAACCUUACUUAAGAACUAACAAGCGUUCGCAUCGAUGCCCUAGCUUCGUGUGGAGGGCACAAGACAAGGUAAAGACUUCUUCUCUUGUUAGACGUAAUGUAAUAUUAAUUCAGAGUCGCCAGGCGGGCCUCAGGCUUCAACCCCAUUGAUAUAAAUAAAACAACUCCUCCCUUUUAGACUAUGGAUCUAGCUCCCAACGACGCUCCCCCGAAGAGGUUUCUUUCGAGUAAGCUUGUUGCAUCAAGGCAUGUUUUGACAUUUCGAAAAAGUCACAAGCUUCGUAUAAAGCUUUUAGGAGGUUCAAUUCUGUUAAGGUAGCAUGGAUAACUCAUCUGCUUGUCUGGUGUAAUACUAACUUGUAAAUAAGUGGUGUCAAUAGGAUACAAAUGGAUAAGCGCACGGUAAUGAGGUGGGCAAAGCAAUCCUGAAUGAGCGCACGGACGUACCAUAGCAUUAGGCGGUCAGUCAAUCUAUAUAAAUAGCCAAAUAUCAUUCAUUUCCUAUCCCUUUUUCCAAAGUGUCUUUCCAUUUCAUUAUCUGUUUCCGUAUACUUUUCCUCCACUGAUGAAUUAGCCCUUGCCUUGCCCUAGCUUCCAGAAAAAUAAGUAAACAGCAUCGCGAACUUUGGAUAUUCUGCCUUAAUCAAAUCCAACUCCAUUGAAGGGGAACGAACGCACAUACUAAACCCAUGAAAGCUUGAAACUAGUUGUAUUAUAUUUCCAGAAAAGCUUUCAAGUGAAAGGGCCCGAUGGCUUUCGAUUCUUUUUUGAUAUCUAUAGCCAAAAGAGACCGAAAAUGAGUGAUUUGAAACUGAUUACUUACAUACUGGUGAAACUCUACUGGUGUUUAUGCACAAUAAAUCGAAUUCCCGGAAUUCUCUGUAUCUGUAAGGGUGCACUGGGACUAGAUCCCUUCCUAACUGAACCACUCUCCCAAAAGAAGGGAUUCAAGUGGGGACUGCAAACAAAGGAAACUCGAAAAGGCUCUAGGAACUUCCAUUCAAUGGACCUAGCAAUAGCUGCCAGCAUAGGCUUGUGUUUUUCUUAAAGGAGAUCCGGCUGUAACAGACUCAACGAUGGAAUUAUCCCUUGGAAAGGCAGAGGAGAAUUCGAAAGCUUGAUCACUCGCUUGCGAACUUACUGCAUAAAGGAAUUAACAAGGAGCAACUAACCUUUCUGCGUUAUAACAUUAGGAACCUUACGCCCAUAUGAAAGAAAGCAGCCAAAACUGUAUAUAAGAUCAGAUGAAAGAAAGCAGCCAAAACUGUAUAUAAGAUCAGAGACGGGUUUAGCGAGAAAAGUCCUUAGCUCACACCUAUCUUUGAUCAAAUAAGCAAAAAAGCCAGCGAGUUUAGGUAUAAAGAACAGCCAGUGUCAGAGAGAUUACUUAUGUUUCACUCUUCCUUAUACAUGAAGGGAAUGAAUGCCUUAAUUGAAUGGAAUUCGGGAUCAAAGUGGAUUAGGUGAAGUUAAGGCAAGCAUGAGUUCAACCCUUUUCUCAUCUGGCCAGGAUCGAUAGCCGUUCGACCUGAGUGAAGUGCGGUCAGAUUCCGUAUCCCCAAUUUCUUGGUCUUUCUCAUACUCUAUUAGUUGUCAUAGUUGUCAGAUCAAUUCCCAUGCAUUCUUUAAUGGAAUCGGAAACGGGCAGAGCAGCGGCUAUCCGGAAUGGGGCCUAUGCCUCAACGACUAUCUAUGAAUGACCAGGAUCGGAAUGCCAAUCGACGGGAUGCGCCUACGACAGAUUGAAAGUUCCUACUAUGAUUACAGGCAUCCUCACUUACGCAACGAAAUGACGAAUCCACCGAUCAUAAUAGGAAAGUGAAAGGUUAGCCUCAUACCUUUUAUUGCGAGGUGAAACACUCACCAGGAUACAUGAUCCUAGGCGAAAACAUGAAAGAUGAGCCAAUCAUAUCAUAAGCGGCACCAUCAUUUCCUCCAUAACGCGAGAAACCAACAACUAAUGUUUCAAUGAAUAAACAGCUGAUGGACCACAUAGUUUCUUCUUACCAGCGGAACAGAAGGCUCUUCAAGAUAUUUCCCAAGCAUACCCUUUUAACCAAAGGAAAGGGAUGAGCCGGAAAUCAUAAACAUACCUUUCCAUCAACCCUACUUUUCUCUGGAAAUGACAUUGGCAUAUGCCUCUGUCCUCUGAGCCUUCUCGGAUCGGUAAAGAAAAAGCUGCUUUGUUAGAGUAUUAGGUAGGCACCCACUUUAGGCGCCAAGAUAAUGAGUUUGUUAACACCCAAUAAGUCAAAGUCAAACAGGUUGGAUUACUUUAGUGUCAAAAGGUUUCUCCCGGGGAUUAUAGACUAGACCUAUAUGCUCUGGCUAAGGCUCUAGGUCCACUGAUCAUUAGGUUAAGUCCCUGGUGAUCGAACCAUUACUAUAAGGUUAACUCUGUCCCUCUUUCUUACGAUACAGUUUAGUCCGUCCCUUUACACCAUUAUCAAGUUUGAGUCUUUACAAAGUGCUUCUCUUCUCGGGCUCGGGAAAGCUAUUCAGGCAAGUUCAUUUGCAAGCCUUUAGCCGAAUAAAGCUAUCAGCAAAACUGGCACCUCACCUUUUGUCUGGCCCAAAAGCAAGGAACAGGCAAUUCUCUAAGACAAACUGAUUCCACUCAAACAGACCAGCGGGCAACUCACUUUCCUGUCGGCUUCUGUCCCGGAUCCGGUUCCUAUUUCUGAUCUUGACUCGGAACUAGAAGAACCAGACAAGUCACUGCCUCUCUCGCCUGCUCUUCCUGUCUUUUAUUCUAUCUAUUUGAACAAGUAGCGGUUGGUUUAGGGCCUAUAUCGUGUACCUUACUUCUAUUAAUGCCGAGCUUUCUUCUUGUUAUCAUUGGUUUGAUUAUUUGACUUACUUGUUUCCAGCCUUUGGAUUCCCUGUUAGUAGCUUCAGUCUUAUAAGCAUUGGUUCUAUCCAUGCAGAGGGGUCUUAUAAAUAGUAGUUACAGCCCGAGAAGCAGUAGCGGAGUUCCUAGUUGAGUUCAAUGAACCCGGUAGACCAGAAAGAGAGUUAGGGUGAGGCUCAAGAGGUAAACCAGUGAGUGAAAUUCUUGGAUUCUAUUUAGCCAAACUAUCCUUUCCUCGUCCUGCACAUCUUGUCAAUUUACCUACUCCGGAAAGGAGAUACUUCCCUAAGACAUUCAGCUACUAAUGACUCGGUAAACGGGAAACUCCCCCUUUCCAUAAAACGGGUAAUGAUGUAAUGAUGUAAUGAGAACCCGAGCCCGCCUCAAAAGGAGUACUAGGUGCAGAGGAAACAAAUCAUUGAACCCUGUAUCGGAGUCAGAGAACGAAUUCUGAUUUAUUAACUGAAAGUCCUGUGUUCAUGACGGCUGUGAGUAAUAACUACUAACUGACUUUCUACAACACCAACACAACCACUUGAUACUGACACUUGGGCGUGAGGAGCUAUUGCUAACAAAAGUACUUUCUUUCUGCCCUUACUUACUUAUCUAAAGUACUUUCUUUCUGCCCUUAUUUACUUAUCUAGGGUUUGAUAAGGCCUAAUAUAUAAUUCGGGAAGGGCCAAGCAACAUAGUUAGUUGCGCGGCAGUAAGUCAUAGUUAUGUAGAAGUUAUUACAAUAGAUGUUUUCAUGGGAAAAAGAGCAGUGAAAUCAAUCUCUUUCGUUGCUUGGUUCCAUCCGUUGAUGUAUGGGUAUGGCUCCAUCGGUCCGGCCAUUGUAGCUCCCAUUCUUUCCUCCUAAACCCCACCCAUAACAUAAGGUGCUGACUUCUCUGCUAAUCAAACCCCUUUCACUAUCUCCAGCUGGAAUCUUAGCUCUGUCUUGGUAUUCUUCGCCAGGCCAUUUCCCAUCCUAAUGCCCCAACAUCCAUCAAUCACAGGAACCCAACAUAAAUCAAUCAAUGCUUAAAACAUCGAGAUAUAGGAUUUCGAAUGGCAGUAUAGUUGAAAAGAAAUGAGGCGCUGGUUGCUGCUCACUCAAGUAAGGGCAGUGUUACUAAAUUCUCAAAUAGGUAGGUGAACUCUCAAUUCCUCCAAAAUGGAUAUAUGAGAUGAACUUCUACUUUCGACUUUAGACUUCUCUUGCAUUAACUUGCGCUAACGUUUAUUGAGCAUAAGUGCGUUAGAAGGAGUUCCACAAUUCCAAGCGUUCUGUAAAGUAAUCAAAGAAUAUCAUAUAAGUGUGCACACAAUCCAAUCAUAUAACUGACAGAUUCUAUAAGUUAGUAACUUCCCUGCUGACAGCUUCCUUCAAAACUGACUUCAUUGUGCGAAACUCUAAACUUGUUUAAGGCCCUUACUUAAACUAACUCACUAACCGCUAUAGGGCUUUAUCACCUUUUACAUAUGAGAGAAGAACACCUACAAUGUACUUUUACAUAUGAGAGAAGAACGCCUACAAUGUAAUAGAAAGUAUAGUAACAAAGCGAACCUAGCACUAUAACACCCCGGUAACAAAGCGAACCUAGCACUAUAACACCCCGAAACUCACUCGAAUAAUCAAUAUAUACAUGCGCGCGCCCCGGUAGUGAGUCAGUGCCGCAGUAGCUCAAAGUCGUUCAGUGUAUAAAAUAAGAUAUAUGCUUCUUUUGGCUUUCUUUGUAUACGAGUGGAGUUACCAGGGUUCUAUAAUCUAAAUUGGAACAGUGAAUUUGAAUAGAGUCUAUCAGGUCUCAUUUCUAUAAGUAGUAGCUUUGCUUUGCUUGUUUAUUGGAAAUGCUAGAUAAUCUUCCAUGAUAAGGUUUUUCACCGAGAAUAGUUUGAUUUCACAUACGGGCGAGCUCUGUUAGCACAAGAUCGUCUUCUUCUCCUGGCCUGAAACCCACUACGGAAUGUGGAAACUUAUCUAAAUAAUAGCAAUACUUAGGACGCUUUAGAUCAGCUUUCUACUUAGGACGGCUUUAUAUCCGCUUUUCUUUUUGGGGUGAGAAAUCUAAUACUAAACGGUUCAAAAGGGGCCAAGGGCCAAGCUUAGUAGUUAGUUGGCACCUAGUUGUCUAGUAGUUGCUUGGUCAUUAGUAGUUACUUGUCUAGUCGUUGCUUGGCCGUUAUGACUGUCAUUUGGCUGACGCCGAAAACAGGACUUGGUUAUACUUUGUAAUAUCUAUUACCUUGGCUACCGCCCAACGUCUUGCUUAGCCUAAAACUCACUGCCGUUUCACUCAACUCCUACCGCUUUUCAGCUCGCUGACGCGACAGCGAACACAUAACUAGUAAUAACUGGGGAACUCUAGCGGCCCUGCCGCGCAACAUUAGUAGUUGCUUGGCCCUAUUGUUGUUACUGCCGCCGAAAACAUCUACGAAGACAGUUUAAAGCUCCUCCGCGACACAUUAGCAGUGUCUUGGCGGCUAUAGCUCCUGCCGUACAACGUCUUUCGCCGUUGCUUGGCCGUUAUAACUGGUUAUUUGCUGCCGCGUCACAUUAGCAGCUCAAUAACUCCUGCCGCGCAACGUUAGUAGUUGCUUGGCGGCCGGCUCACCGUUGCUUGGCGUCUAGUAGUUACUUGGCCCAGUCCUGUUGUUGGUGACGAGCGGUGCAAGGGUGCUUGCUAUAUAGGUAAGGGCUGAGUCCUGUCUUCAUGGGACAAGAGGUUUGACUACUCCCUAAAAUCAGAAUACAUAUUAGUUGGCUACGAGGGAGGUUAGAGUGUCGGUGCCCUAGCUAUUAAGUCGUAGAGAUCAGAAACGGGGCGGAGCAGACCACUUAAAGAAUGCAACAUAUACGCAUGAGCUGAGCAACUUUCUCAAGAGAAUAUAUAAGUGAUCAGGAGCUGAGCAACUUUCUCAAGAGAAUAUAUAAGUGAUAUAGAUAAUAAGUGAUCCAGCUUCUUGCCACAACUCGUGUAUACUCGGUUAAGCCUUACCUCUGUCAACUAAUUCAAUUACAAUAUCGGAAGAAACAGAAUCUUUAGCCGAGGCGGGGGGAUGUAAUAGACAUCUAAUCAGACUUUGGAUAAGGAGCUAACAAGCAGACACAAGUCUCAAGGACCAAGCGGACUCCUCAUUAAGUAGACCCUAGACAAUGGAAUUCUUUCCUUUAAGAAUAUAGUUUACUUACCGCCUAUAGGGCUCUCAAAAUACCCUUGCAAUAAUACAAGCGACUACUCUAGCAUGGGAAGCCGAAUCUACUCUUUUGAAUGCCUACUAUGCGCUCAAGGGAAUAACCACCAGUUCUUGGACGUAUUAUGGAGGCUUCUCUACUUCUACUCAAAAGUAUUCUACUAGAUACGAAUUCCACUCGCCCAGCAGAGCCAGCAGGGUUCACAGAGAAAUAGCAUUUGCAUCUUUGACUUUACUUGCAGCCGGGUAAUGAGUUAUAAGUGAGUCCUGCAUCCGCCCUUAAACUAGAUCAUACCUAUGCUUAGUAUUAAGAAAAGAAUGAGGAUUGAAGCGUUAGGUUGAGUUUUGAAUUAAGCCUUAGUGAGUGGUACGUAAGGCGGGACAGUCUGUUGACGACUUGGAUCACGACAGCGGGACAAUCCGUUUUAGUUUCGUCUCUUUAGGUGCUUGCUUGUUAGUGAGUUCGCCGUUGAAGACUUAUAUUCUUCCCCUAUUCUCAAGAAGCGAGGGCAAUAAGAGAAGGGAAUAGAGUUUCUCGGUAUAGAAAUUCUAUUGGUCAUUAGAUAGGUGAUUGUGCUCUCGUAUCAAAUCCAUAAUGGAAUGUUUCAUCGAAGGAAGGCGAAAGUAGAAAGGAUAAGUAAAGCUUGUCAGCAGCAAGGAAAGGGGAGUGGUCGUUAACUCAUUGAAACUAAUAAACUGGCCUGAGAAUGCAUUUGGAGUGUAUACCUUAACCAUCUUCCGUAUCAGCAGGAGCGAGAGAAGGCCUAAUAUAUAAUUAGGGAAGGAAUUCUAGUAUUGAGUGCUCUUAGUUGGAAUUGCAAGUAUUAAUUGCACCCUUAUUAUAAUCCGCAAGAGAAGAGUAGAGGGAUAGUUGCCUGAGUUGGAUGAGCCGGGAGUUAUAGUAGAAUAGAAAUUCUAUAAGAUGAAAUGAAGCAAGUCAUAAUGAAGUGUUUGUUGACAGAGCCCGAGUAGCCAGAGAAGAUAGAUUGGCAGUUGCCAUAGGUAGAUUAGCCUGAGUUCAAAGAGCCCGAGUGAGGUUGUUUUAGGGUCAAGAGUACAGAGCAAGAGUUUAGGUCGGAACAGAAUUAGCGACUGCUGAGGUUUAGUCUCCAGGCAAAGUAUAAAGAAUAGAGUAUCAUAUACAAGCUAGAGCAGUAGAAGAAAAAGUAUCAGAUGCCAAAGAUUGAGCUGGAUGAGAUGAUGCAGAAGAAGUCACCCAUAAAGUAAGAAUGGAAUUCGAUCUUGCCCCCUAGUCUAGUGCUCUUAACGGAAAUCCUAUUCGGGUAGGGCUCUGUGCAAGGAAACUCCAUUCUGGUAUUCGGGAUUCUAUAACUCCUUUAGCGCCAAAGGAACAGUGACUUAUUGGAGUAAUGAAGAUCUGAUUGCGUGGAGAAGACUUUGCUUGUUUAGUAGUAGCUUGGUGGAACUCACUGACGCUCACUCAAGGGUACCUCAUGAAUAUGAGUUCUGUUCUUGCGUCUUAUAUGGAGAGAAAUUACUGGUGUACAAGGCGCUCUUCAGAUUCAAUUAAUAGCGCUGGCAGGAUUCAAUUCAAUGAUGAACUUCAAUAAGUGGGUCAAUAACAGAUAGUGACUUUCCUUGUAGUAGAGUUCGGAUCAAGAAGGGAGUUUGCGGAACAAGUCUAUUUCUUGCUAGGAAAAUAUGAUCAGCUGCAAGAUAUGGGGAAGGAACUUCAUGUCCUGUUUUAUUCGUUGUUCUAGGCGUCAAUGCAUUAGUUGAGCCUGACGAGCGGUUCCAUUCAAAAGGUGAUCUCGCGUUAGGAGUGAAAACGCAAAACGGAGAAAGCGGAAGCCGUAUCAUCAGCAGUUCCAGUUUAGUACGGAGUUGAAUACUAUACAGAAGGUUAAGAUCAUCUCGAAUCGACAAGUAAAUAACCUUUCUUAUCACCUAUAUUUCUAUGCAAGACUAAAACUCACUAACUAGGACUUCUUCUGAUCCUAAACGGAACUAUCUUCUUGCCCGAACAAAACCGUGAAGGGAACUUUCAGCUUACUGAUUACUUUGGUACGGCAUCAGAUCUCGUCUCGUCGCCAACACCGAGAUACUAAAUGGCUUAUUCUCUCUACUCCUUAUGCUUGAACCGGGUUCUUCUCUUAUUCCUACUCCGGGUACAGCAAUAUUCUCUCUUGUUCCGUAUCCUUAUACCGUAUAAUAUGUAUUCUCUUUCCAAAUUCCCUAUUCCAUUAUUUCUUCUCUUAUUCCGACUCUUAUAAUAUUUCCGACUCUUAUAUAUCUUCUAUUAUAAUAUUUCCGACUCUUAUAUAUCUUCUAUUACUAGCCUACCGUACAGGAACGUAUCUUUCGAACGGAAAAGUAUAUCGGUGGCGCAAGUCCAAGUCAGAGUAGAAAGUGUCAGCAGCAAGGGCGCAAGAAGGAAAGUGGAGUUCCAGUUAUUGGCUCUAAGUCUCAAAGAUCCGGAUCUUUUCUUGGUUCUAAGUAAGUAUCUAAAGCGGGAGUAUCAUCUCUUUGUGUGCCAGUGUUGUCAGGUUGUGUGCCAGUGUUGUCAGGAAAGGAAGUUGAUAAAGCAGAUACAGCAAUAGAUGCUAAGUCGGGAAAGUAUGCCGAAUCAAUCUCUACGAGUAUGGUUCUUGUCGCAAGUGAAAGAUCAUUAGCAGGAUUAGGUACAGGCUUUGUUGCGAGGCCCAUAACCAUAAGAAAGCUAAGAAAAGUAUGACUCUUCUCCCGGGCAAUAAAGAGUGAAAGUAUUAUGAAAGUAUCAGACUUACUAGUAUGCGCAGCUAGUUUCGUUUGGGGUAAUUAACCACGAGUAUAGGAAUUAGCUUAGUGGAUGCACGUAAUCAGAACUAAACCCAGCUGUAUAAGAGUGGGCUUGGACCCUAAGGGGGGAGAAUCUCACUGAUGUGUGGUGUAGUUAAGGAAUGAAACUCAGAAGUAUAAGAAUGCAAACAGUAAGUCAAAGAGUGAAACACGGAAUACAGAUGCUACCCGGGCUCCAGUAAGAAUGAAAGAAAGCUGGUUAGGUUUUCCGGUGGCAAGUAAGAAUGAAAGACAGGAAUUGAGGAAUCGAACUCAUUAGUCAAAGAAUUCCACUAUUGGAAUUUCACUACUGAUAACAAGGCGCGAACUACGACUAACAAGGCUCGAACUACCACUAACGAGGCUAGCCUAAGGAAUUCCACUCAGUAGUCACAGAAUGGUUAAGUUACAUCAUAGGGAAGAAUCAAACUCAUUAGUCAAAGAAUUAGUAGUUAGUCUAGGAAUUAUGAGCAAGGAGGCAAGUCUCAAUUUGAAGCCUGUGAACCCGGGAAACACCACAAAUAGAGUAGAAAAACGAAUAGAGUAGAUAAUAUGUUCUAAUAUAGUACAGUACAAGACAAGACUUAGAGUAGUAAGUAUAAGAAUGAAAGUGGUAAAGUCAGAUAGAGUUAGUUGAUCCCUUAUUCUUAUGAGCUAGUAUAGUUAUCGGUCAUAUCGGUCAAGCAUUGCCUCUGCUACUUAUCUCUGGAAUUGGGCAAUACACUUAAUAAGGGCCUUAUAGUAAUUUGGGAGCGAAACUAUUAUUAUUAGUAGGAAUACCGAUCCUGUUCGGUUGUAGCUGGGCCUAUUGACUACCUCCUUCUUGAUAAGCCUGAGCGAGGUAUCGAUUCUAAGCCGGGUUGACCCUUACCCUUAAACAAGUAAUAGAGUAGUCCAGAGCCAUAACUGGAUUAGUUGCAAGAGGCGAGGAAGUAUUUGUUUAAAGAGGAGAUGCAAACUAGUGCCUUUAAGGAGAAGAGCCCUAGGUAUAGGAGCAGGAUAAGAGUCAGAUUAGGAAGGUAGAAAACGAAAGAAGAAAACCGGCUGGCUAUCUAUCCGGAGUUGUUGAAUACCGAGGGGGAGAGUCGCUCUAGUUUCAUGAGUUGUCGAUGUAGUCCUGUUUUCGGGAGCCAACUAGAGCUCAACAAAGUGUAUAUGUAUAUAGUAAGAGCUAUAAGCAAGUCUGCCUAGUAAGAGCUAUAAGCAAGUCCGCCAAGUAGCGUAUAAUGUGUAGCGGCAGGGCAGCUAGUUCGAACGGGCCAAGCAGACUUAAUAAGCAAGGGCGCUAAGAACAAUUAGGGAGCACAUACAUGAGAUGGUUAAGGUAUACACAAUAAAUGCAUUUAUUUAAAAGGGAAUAAAAGCAGAAAUCGGUUAAGGGAAUCAAAGCAGAAUACAGGCUUGCGGUUCAGUAUCUAGGUGUUGUAGGCAGUAGCUGCUUUUAAGUAGUAGUCUAUUUUCUAGUAGUAGUGUAGAGGUGGAUAGUAGUUUAUUUGAGUUCCAGUGUCAUUGUAGAGAGCAGAAAGAAUGCGAAGUCUCGAUUAUAUGCCGGAUCAUAACCAUAAGCAGGAGAAGUCUUUAGCCAGGUAUUAUAUAUAGAAGUAACCUCAGAGUUAUUAUAUAUAGAAGUAACCUCGGAUAGCUAAAGAAGUCACCUCGGAUAGCAGAAUGAAGUAAAGGAUCGGAAGAAACAGAUCGAAAUACAAAGAAUGCAACAAUAUAAGAGUAGUGAAAGAGUAAAUGGCUCUGUCUCUGCUCUACCUAUUACAGCUGGCUCAAACGCACCUCUGUGGCAGCUCCCCCGGCUUCCUCUCUUUAUUCCUACCACUAGAAUACCAAUACAUAUUCAAUUUGACUCUAAACAGCCUUACCUCCUCUUCACCUAUACACCUCUUCUUUGUAUGCUACCUAAACUUCAUUUCCAUCUUUCUUCUUUUCGAGCACCUGUGCCAACACCUGCUCCUGCGCCAGCACCCUACUUUCUAACUGGAUACUUUUUUCAAUAAAUUCAUAAAUGAAGUAGCGUCGACAGUAUAUGCUUGUCCCUUUAGCAUCUUAUGAUAGGAAUAAAGUAUAACCGUGGAAAUCUAUUUCUAACCUAGCUGUAAAGAGAGUUGGGCUGGGCCUGGACUCUAUGAAUCAUGAAUCUCCUCUCUCCAUCUUAUAGAAAUGCAGGUCAAUAACCUCCAUAUACUGAUGGAUUUAGCGCUGAACAAUACUUCAAUUUCUUAUUCCCCACACCCCGCGUAGCCAGUAAUUGAUUAUACUAUUCCUUUAUACCGUACUCGACUAGAGGGGAGCUACAGCCUUAGACACGAGUACAAGCAAUAACCUCUCUUCAUUAAUGUUGUGCCUGAUUGCUGACAUGUAAAUCUUUCUUUAUGCACUUUGCUUGCUUUGUCUGUAAAUAGGCGAAUGCUUGAUUUUCUUUUCUGUCUUCAAGAGAUAGAAGAGGGAUUUGUUUCACGAAUGAAUACGUACUUUCUUAGUGCUGGCUGGAGUUGGGAUUUCGCUUUGACCGAUUGGCUUUGCUUUGAGGAGGCGGCAUCCAUAGUAAUAUAAUAAUACAGCGUAACUUGCGCUUAGUCCCUUGUUGUUGGGCCCAAAAGAAUGCCUUAAUCAAUCCAAUUUAUAUCCCCGAGUAGGACAACCAUAAUAAGCUCCUACUUAGCGGCCUCGUAUUCAAUCAGUUAAGCGAGAGCUGGAAUGGAAGGAUCAAUUGCAAGCUCAGAGGGAUUAAUAAGUGGAAGAAAGUCAGUUGUUCACGAAUCCACUCUUCAAGAAUGCCUUCUCCUAUAUUUAGAAAUAAUCCCUAGCUAUUGAAUCCGGUCUUUUAUCUUGAUGCACAGAAUGCCUUGUUCCAGAUGUAGAGUAAGAGCUCUUGGAGGGAUCAAGGCUGGUGCCUCUAAUGGUAUAGGCUGUGUAUCCAUUUCAUCUGGUCUUUCGGAAUCGAAUGCCAUGGAACUUAAGGGGAAGGAAGGAUUUGACAUUGAAGGGGAGGAAGGAUUUGACAUUGAGGCGAGACCAUAUAUAUAAGAAGAAAGAAUCUGCCCAUUGACUAAGUACUCUGAUUCUAUGAUUGGAUAAUAAGAGCUCUUUCUUUGAACUUCGAUAAUAGGGGAAGAUGGUGAAUCUGUUGUCCACUUCGACGCGGUGCGGAGCCAACGGAUUUCUCCUUAUCCGAUUGGGGAUUUCCAGGUUCUCCAAUAAGCCUGAAAGUAGGGAUCGAUAAAGUGCUAAAAACACAAUUCCCAGCCCCUAUGGAUUCUAAACAAGUAGCCUUCCAACUCUUUUUUUUGAGAUUCUCUCGCAUAAAAGGAAGUAUUGGUAAGCUAUUUGGCGGUAAUUCCAAGAGAUAGAGGUCAUUCGAGAAGGAGGGACUAUGUGAAUCUUCUAUCUAUUAAGGCACUUUUGGACCCUACCCGACCAGAAUAAAGUCACGAACAAGUGGUAUAACAUUAAUAUAGGAAGUCAGAUCUAUAAAUAGAGGAAAUAAGAUCUAGAUUCCCUUAAAGGGUAAAGCAAGCAUUCUGUGGAGGAGCCCCAGUGAAGAUCAUCUCUUUCCUCUUUCUUCUGACCUUUUUACCUAUGACGAGGGAAGGGAGAAAAGGGGCAUUUCAACCAAUAAGUAGAAUGUGAGAAGGAGCAGACCCAUCUACGAAGAUGCUUUUCCAGAGGGAGCGACGGGCCCAGCUCUUUCUUUCGAACUUCUUUGGCGCAGAUUUCACAAGUCAAUUUUGCCCUGACUAUACUUGCUUCGGCAGAUCCAUUUUGCAGGUUAGCUUCGGGGUCCCCAUAAGGGAAGUAAACUCGUCCUUGAUAAGUAAAGCUUUGUCCCUAUUUAUUGGGCAUGAGCGGGGAUAGCAGUAAUGGUCCAUUUAUUGAUGGUCGAAGGACAGGGAUUGAAGCAGCGGAGAAGCGCAAUGCUUUCUUUGUCAAUUCUAUUGAGCUAAGUCUAGGAAAGUAGAAUCUAUGCUCUACUCUAUGUUUCCCCUUUGAAAAGUGGUUCUUGCGGCCCGGAGGCUCCACAUCAUCUUAGAAGUUCUUUAAGAAAGACCUAGCUGGGAAUCCGAGGAAGAACUAAUUGGUUGGAGCGCACUUCACACACACUAGAGUUUGACUCGUAGCGAUUAGGGGUUGAACCAUCGAUCCUAAAAGGUCAGUUGUUAGGUUGCUGGAGGGAUGCAAUAUAGUAUAGUAAUAAAGAGCGAAAUAAAAGGAGCGAAAGCUUAAGAGGGGAGGAGGGAUGUAAUUCACAGCUAUAACUAAAGAGGACUAUCAUAAAUAAGUUCUGAAGGAUGUAAUUAAGCUAUACUGAAAGUAAGGGGGCAAAGACUGAUGAGCAUAUUGACCUAUUGAUUGUUGGAGUGGAGAAAGUUAUGUCCCAGUUUCUGAGGUGGGCGCAUAAUCUAAUAUGAUGGAAGCGAAUACACUCGUACGGCUCUAUCUUGACAAAAGGUGUUUGGACUGUUUUCGGGCCCAGACUCCGGAGCCAUUCUAGUUCCUGAAUAAUGAGGAUAUCCGUAUCAGAGGCGCGUAAGGUUUCUUUUGGUGCUGUAGCUCCUAGUAGAUACGAGUUGGGGCAAGAAGAGAAGAGAGCCGAAUUCAGCAAGUCAGAAAUGAAUAGUAAUAGCAGAGGGUAUAAGAAUACAUCCACUUUACCGCAACUCAGCUACUCCUAUAGUAUAGUAUAGUUCCUAUAGUCAUGAGUUUUGUUACCACUCUUUGCCUUUGUAGUAUACGCUUGGUUAUUUAGUUUGCUGGGAAAUCAUUCAUUUCUCACUCUUGGCCUGAGUCUUGAUCCGAGGACCGAGGAAAACGGAAUUGAUUAUCGAUGUGCCAUAUUCAAGUAGGAAUUGGGCGGAGCAGGAAAAGGUUUGAGUCAUGAAGAUCUGAUCAGGGAAGAGAAGAUUGCACCAACCCAACCGUUGCUGAAUCCCUUAAGCCCCCUUACGCGUAGAAUGAGAUGGAACUGCUUCCACUCUUAACAACACUGCUACGUCGGCCUUAACUGCGGAUUCUCAAACUCCAGAUUCUCGCCCCGAUUCCGCUCCAUCUUCUGCCGAUGAUCUAGCUUCUUUACCAGAUCCAGUGAAUUCUCUCGUUGCACCAGAUCUAUCUUAUAAUCCUUAUCAUCUUACUGCUGGCACAAACUCACUAACGCUUGUCGGGCCCAACACAGAGACGAACAAGUCCCUCCUUUUUAGGCUUCAAUUCAUUUCCAUUUAUACAGUGGCAAGGGAUCUUCAAUGAGUGAGUCUUAAGGGGUGCGUGCCUAGCUUUUCCAUUCCUAAAGCUACUCUCGGCUCAAGCUUAAUCAAUAGUGGCAACAAGUAAGUUUCGGGGUGUGUUAGCCGUUGCGCAAGAAACCAGUCCAGUAGUUCGCAAAUCUGAUAAGUAUGACUUCCACCCACAGGCCUGUCUAUUGUAUAGAAAAGAAAUCUUAUUGGUAAUUGGAGAAUCAGAGCAUAGGUGAAGGUUCAGUCUCUAGUAAGUAGCGCUAGGCAAGAGCAGGGUACUCGAGUUUAGGGCGAGGUUGCCAAGCCAAUAAAGAGAAGAUGAUUUUCAACGAGUGUUAGGUGAUUUGGAGCAAGCAAGCUUCUGAUUCUUGUUUCGUGGUGCCCAAUAUUCUCACUUUAGAGAAGCAAGGGCUAUUAGUGGUUAUCUUUGAGUAUAGAGUCAUUUCCUUUCUUCUACUUACUGGCUUUGAAGCAGUGCGCAAGUCGGCAACAAGUGGUUCUGUUCUGUUCCACUAUUCUCUUAUGUUCUGUUCAACACUAUUGUCUUAUCAAAAGUCAAGAAAAAGAUAGAAACUGCCCACUAGGCUCCCGACAAAUAAGCUGUAUCGAGUAAGUAAGCAGCAAACGGAAAAGCAAAAGUAGACAGAUCAGAAGAAGGUAAAUCCGGGGGUAUUAAAGCCAACUGCUCUCAAUCUUGGUUUCCAGCCCCUUAUAGUAGUGGUGGAGAUAUCUGUUAUUCUUUUCUUGGCUCUCCGUCUGUAUAGGAGUGAGCGGUAUCAAGGGCUAAAGUCAGCAGCAAGCGGGUCGGAUUCCUUUCCAUUCUUAGAUUUUUCAGUGCGAGUGUUGUCGACGAAAUAAGGAUCAUCAGCAGCAGACUGGACAGUUUCCGUUAAGUAUCUUACUCCGAGAGAAGCAGAAGUUCAGGGAAAGUAUCCAGUAUCAAUCAAGUCGAGUUCUAGAAUAAGCUGGAUCCGGGUAUUAUAUGGAAAUAGUCAUUAUUUGGGAAGAGGUGUGGGUUUCUUCUUUUCUCCGUGGGCAUUAUCUGAGGCUUCUUCUCUGUCUUUAUAUUCUUAACUCACUUACUCCCUUGCUGGUUCCGUUGAUUGUUGAAUGGAAUUGAGAUAAGUCACACAUGGUAUAGAGCCAAGUAAAGAGGAUUAGUAAACAAGCCGACUUCCCUUACCUUAGGUAUUCCAAAUAUUAGAUACUAUAUAUGGCUUCCUUGCCUUGACUUUAUUCUUCCUCGACUUCAACUUAUAGGCUCUUUGAACUCCCACUACUCUACCUUAAUUAUGACUUGCGGAAUUCAUAACUCUUGAUUGCUCCUCCACCUCUAUCUGUUCUGUUACUAAGAUAUAGUCAAUAACUCCGGAUAGUAAUGAAUUCUUUGGUUUUCGAGUCUAGUCAAGAAGGAGCCAAUGGGGUAGAUCAGAUCCCGCCUACUUAUUAGAAUCCUUUCCAGUGCUUUCUUCGUCAGCGAGUCGUGGAGGAAUCAAUUGCAGGGGAGAUAUCAGUUCAUCCGCUCAAAAGGAGUUGCUAAGGUUAGCUUGCCUUAACGCAAAUAGUUUGAUGCGAGGUAUCUGAUAGCUUCCGUAACGAACCAUAGCCUCUUUUCUUCAAUUCAAUUAGUUUAUCAUCUGUGUUUCUCAAUUCUUAAAGGAAGGAGUGCUAGGGAAGGAAAUCAAGCCUUAAUAAGUAAGGGCGAGUUGAGUCUACAGGUGUUGAGUCUACAGGUGAGGAAGAAAGAGCUUUGUUUAAUUUCAUGGAAUUUGUUUACUACGGUAUCGGAGCAAUAGAAGGAUCCGAGCGGGCACUAAAAGACUCAGUGUGUUAGUUAGCCUUAUGAGCAAGUCCUGUGUUCGGGCGCAAUAAGGUAAUCGAUUGGGGAAUCAAUAUGGGUCUUGUCCUGGCAUCUGUUUAUUCACCAUCUGUUAAUGAAUUACUUCCCCAGCAAGAUCUUCCUUCCAUUCCCUUGAAUAUGUUGACUUGAGAGUUCCCCCUUUCUAUUUAAAGCUGUUCAUUACUUGCUUGGAAUGCAGCAUAGGCGCUUCGGUCUCAAUUAGUGCGGUUGAUUCCUUUAGAAAGCCACCGGCCUUGUCAGCUCAUCAGUAAGGGUCGAGCAGUCUUCUCUGAUGGUAAUGCGAAUCUCGAAUCUCUUUAGCUAGUCAAUCUCUUGCAAGUGGUCUAUGGCAAAGGCUCAUCUGUCCAAUCGGAAUCGGUCCACGAAUGAGUUCUUUCUAAGAGUCAGUGCUUAUUCUCUGCACUUUUAGACGGAAGCUUUAUACAUGUUACUUCGACGGCAAUCCCAUGUCCUCAGGCAAGGUAUAUUGGUUAGCUAUCCUAUGGAAUUGAAGCUUUUUCUUCGCCGGGUAUGAACGAGAUGGAAGAACCGAUGUAAGAUAGACAGACCGGAUUCCUGUGUCCCCUACGAGCGAAGGAAAAGAAAUGCUUUUCUUCAAGCAGGAAGAAACUCAACUGCUGGGUAAGGCUAGCGGGUAAUAGUAUAGGACUUUCAAGCAAGGGUAGCAAGUCAAGUGUGUUUUCGUAUCGGCAUUAGACUGCUAUGCUCACGAAUUGGAUGAGAACCAAUGACUCUAUUGUAUGAAAGCGAGACUCUAACCGCUCAGAGAAAAUAGACCCCAGAAGAGAAAGCCGGGAAACCAGAGUGACCCUUACGAGAGGGGCGGAGCGCUAAGAGCGUGAUAACUAUACGAAAUGAAGCAGCGGCUAGCACGCUAAGAUAAACCACUUGGUUGGGGAGAACGUGAAGCCUUUCUUUCUCGGUAAUUUAAGUGGAUUCCUUUUCAUGCGGUCGUUCUCUGCUGCAUUGGUGUUUUCACUCCCCACUCUAUACCAUAACGAAAAGUGUCCUCUCAGGAGUUGUAAAAGGAAGUACUCAGGAGUAGGAAAUCACUAAGAAGUAGGGCACAAUGGAUCAAUUCAUUCAACAAGAUCCCUUCGGACCAGGAUGAAUGGGAUUGAUAUUACCUCUCGCUUCGAUCUAAGACUCCCACCGCCGGACAUCUGUCAGAAGAUUCAACUGAGUUAUGCAUUUCUCUAGGAAGGUAAGUUGGGUGAGUUGGCGAAGGAGGGGCUUUAGGAAAGGAGUUGCAUUCAGCAGGAACCGGGAAAGUAGCCAUACCUUUAUUUGUAGCAUAGAUAGCUGUGGGAGACCAAACGAAUCUGUCAAGCGUAAAGUCAAACUAAAGCAGAUGAAGCAUCGGGUAUAGUAAAUCUGAUAAAAGAGCACAGCAGCUAAACCAUGUAUGUGCGCGUGAUUGCUCGUUCGCUUGCAAAUACUUAUCCUCUCGCCCAGGCCCUGGCUCUUUCCAGAAAAGGCCUAAACUCUAUUUGCCUAAGCAUCUUUAACGCCAUGGAGCUUGCCGGUUAUAAUCAAUGAAAGCUAGAUUACCAUAUUCCCGGUGAUAAUCAAUGAAAGCUAGAUUACCAUAUUCUUAUGCUAUGGCUUGGCUUAGCAGGAGGUCAGCUAGAUAGUCGAAUAGGACCCUUUGGAGAGCCGGCUCAUUUAGGCCUUUCUUCCUUUCCAAUUGACAUGCCCCAGAUGCAAAGCUAUAUAUUAAUACACUGACCUAGUUCGCUUAACCGCAUUGACUCACUCGAAGCAUGAGAACAAAAGACGGAUUGAAAACAACUAGUAGUAGAGUAGGAAAUAAAGAAGGAGGAGGUGAGUCCCAAGCCGGGGUAGAAAUAGGAUGAAUAGCUUUUCGACCUAUGGUGGAUUCAACCAAUUUCCUAUCCAUGCUAGCAUUCAAGUUUAGCAAAACCAAGGCAAAUAACUAUGUUAGGGGGAAUUCUCCUACUUAGGCUCAAAGUAGUCUACAUCGCUAGGACCAAGCAAAUCCUUGAAUCAAAAUCCAGACAUGCUCAGGAUGAACGGGAAAGGAAGGGCGUAAGACCUGCCGAGGGAUCUAAAUAGGGAGAUAAGCACGAGUUGUGGUUCGCCAAAAGCUAUGUAAGGCUGCAGAUUGUUUCUCUUCUGCAUUGCCCUUUUAUAGAGAAGAGACCUAGGAGCGAGUUUACGAGCCGGCUUUCUGUCUCUUCAAGCCAAUUCCCUUAUAUCAGAAAUGGUCAUAUUCCCCUUAUAUAGGUAAUAUUCCCCUUAUAUCGGAAAUGGUCAUAUAAUAAAUGGAACUUGUCUAGCCCUCAGGCUGCCGCGCAACAAACUACUAAGCUUGGCCCCGCUUCAUCUCCAACUAACAUGGAUUUCCGUCGAACAGGAGGAAAACAAGUCAUUUAACUUGCUUGCUCUGCGCGCGCACCAACCAGUACUUGAUUCCUCCCCAAACCCCUCACUUUCGAUUCUGAUCCUUAAGAAAACAAACCUCCACGAUACCUUGCUUCAAAGCCAGUAAGAGAAAGAUGGUCUGCCCUGAACGCUGCUUCUGCUUUAGAUCUUUAUUCCUUACCUGCGCUAAGAUCUUCUCCCCUCAAUGAAAUUCUGAACUUCUAGUAUAGGCAGUAUCUAUUUUCAUAGGUCAUUUAGUAACUAUAAGGAAAUAGUAUUCAUUCAAUAGAGAGUAUAACUCACAAAAGUCGUAUAAGUUCGAGCAGUAGGAUAAAGACCUGAAAGCAAGGUUGAAAUCAUCAGUGAAUUCUUUUCCUGCAAGAAGAUCCUCUAGACUCACUUAUGCCCUAGAAAGAUCUAUAUUUGGAGAAUCUAGUCCUGUUAUCGGUUCAGAACAGAAUAUCUUAUUGGCUAGGAAGCUCCCUUUUAAGUAAGCGAGGCAUUCCAUAAUAUAGUAAUAAAUAAGAAAAGUAUAAGUCAGCGAGUAGGGUCGCCCAUAUAGAAUUAAUCAGCAGCAGUAAGAGCAGGUGCAAUCGGGUGAGAGUCGAGUGAGGGCGCUAAGAUGGUUUACCGGCGAAAUCCAAGAGUCAGGGUUGGUUUCAAGCAAGUAGUUAUUCAUUGAAAGAAGAGGUUGUCAAAGUAUUGGAAUAAGAAUAGAAAACCAUAACAUAUGAGUUCAUUGCCAAGAAAAGAGAAUUCUAAGGAUCAGAGAAAGAAUAUGAAUAAAAGUCAGUGGUGAAAAGCGGUGAAGAAUAGGAUUGAGCCCCAAGUAAGUGGUGAAAAGCCUAGUAGUUACUUGUCUGGUUGCUCCUUCCUUUAAGUAAUAAGAAUUGAAGAAUAGAAGAUACUGUACCAGGGGAGUAGUAGUACCCUAAUAUGAAUUCUGUAAUUCCAUUCUUUAAGUAGUCUCAACUCAAUUAAGAAAUGGAAUGUUGGAACUGGUACUACUAUACUAAGAAUAGAAAAAACUGGGUCAGAAUUGAACAAGGAAAGAAAGGGUCAAAUGGAGUUAGUGUAUUUGUAGAGGCUUUCAGCACCUAGUUAUCCUUCCUUGAAUAAUUGAAGUUUACCUGCCCACUGAGACUAUCUACGAAAAAGCAAGGUAUCUGAAGGCACCCGAGGCGACUGUGCGUAAAAGUACUAGUGAAAAAGAAAACGGGCUCCCGCUAGUGUUUCGAAGAAUGAAACAAGUCAUAAUGAAGCCGGAUAUAUGGUAUUGAAUGAAACUCCUUAACAAAGGUGCCUGUAUUGAUUAUGGAUUUUCACUCCUUUAGGUUCAGCUACCUCUGAUUCUCUAUACUCGGCUUGCUCUUGGACAGGACAGGUGAGACUUUCCAGUUUCAAGUAGAUGUAUUCGGCAGUUAGCGAGUCUAGCCCCAACUACCUGGUCACAGCUAAGGAACUGGGCUCCUUAAGAUAGAAGACAGGACUCUACUCGAUAAGAACGUAACAAUAACAUGGAUUAUUUGUUAUUGCUGCUGUUUUUGUCGUCGUUGCUUGUCGAGUUUGGUUCUAUAUGUGCUAUGAGCCGUUCUCUUCUUGUUAUAUUACUGUUACUGUUGUUCUCUUAUUGUUAUUACUACUAUUCUAUAUGCCUAUAAGAGACCAUACCAUACUUAUACUUAUUGGUUUGAUUCACUGAGUUGUAUGUUAGUUCCUCAGAGGUGGGGUAGCAGUCAAGUCUAUUAAUAAGUGAAGUAAGACUGACCAGUUAGAGGGAUAUGCCUAAGCGGGUCAAGUUCCAUUCUUUCAUUGGUAGUUUGAUUCCAAUAAGUCAUAGACGGUUUCUCUAUUCCUAGUCGAGUUCUUCACUCGGAGCUGCCCUGUCACUGCUUGGUUAAAGUAUCCCGCUACUGCCUUAAGCCUUCAAUGCCAUAUCUCAAUUCCGUAGUUCACCUAUUCUUCUUCCACUUAUAAGUUGUAUGCCCUAAGUUCUCAUUGUUACUAGUCCAUGCCCUAAGUUCUCAUUGUUACUAGUCCAUUCCUCUACUACUUUCUUCGCUAAUCUAUUCUUUGAUUUACGUUACCGAUCGAGUUAUGAAAAUCAAUCGCUUGUAUCAAUAUAACAUAGGUGGUAUCAAUAACAGAGCAGAAGAGAGUUUCCUCCGUGCCAAGUCUAUUCUUAUAAUAUCUUAUACAGUUUCCGUAUACGCGAAAAGAAUAAUCAAUAUUAUAAUCAUCUAAAAUAACGUAGUAAGUAAUUGCACAGUGAAAUGAACAAGACAAGACUGCUUUAGAUGUAGAUGCAAGCGAUAUAGUCUAAGGUACUACCAGUAAAGUCAAACUCAAAAGGGGUAGGCUCAUUCUCAUACUGCCUUGGCUUCAUUAGAAUAAGUCGUUUUUCAGUCGUUAGACAGUGAAUGAAAUAAAGUGCCCCUGUUCCUAGCUCAAGUAUGAGAAGCACCGGUUCCACUCUGAGAUAUAGUAAAGCAAGAUGAAAAGGAAGGGCCAAGCAUAUACUACUAAAGAAGAGAGAGGGAAAUUGUUAAUCCUCAGACCAAUUCUUAUACUUAUUAGUUUGUUUAUUUCUUGAUUUUCAGUGGAGAGCGCAGGGUAGGCGAGAAAGACAAAGACAGGACUUGCUCGGGCUUAAGAGAUUCAAUGAAUUAGUGAAAACCAAGGCUAGUUCCGGAGAACCCUCGGCAGGAAGUCAAGAUGGAUUUCGCCAGUCAAGAAGGGGCCAGAAGACUUCCAAAUGCAAGCGCGUCUUCAGAUACUGAGCCUAUUGCAAUGCAGGAAUGAAUGCUAAAUGGAAUCUGAUGGCAUAGGAGAGGGCGGGGAGAGUAUCCAAGCACGCUCUUUCUGAACCCCGAGAGGAGUCACAAAACUAUCCCAAUAAAGAAAGAUGGAAUGUCACACUAUAUAUACUAAACCUCCAGCCACUGAGUAAGCGGACUCUUUCUUCCAAAAUACAGGAGGGUACUUCAACCGAGAGGAACACUGGCUCGGAAUUCGCGAGCUCACGGACUAGACGUAGGACGACAUUACUUGGAUCCUUGUCCUAGCUUGAUGCAAUGAGGCAACCAGUCAGCGGUAAAAGCCUUGCUUGCUCAUCAACUGCUUCAGCUCGGAUUGGCAUCAUUUCGUUGUUGAGCGCUCCAUCCGCAGAAGAGGUUUGGGGCGUCCCAUAUACUAUAUGAGUAUUCCUUCAAGCGAAAGCACCAAUCUAAGGAAAGGAGCAGGAAAUAGCAGUAAGGUAACAACCGGACAUGGGAAAACAGGCAUGUCAUCUCAUAAGAUCCUUUCAAUUGGCUAUCAUCCCUGACUUGCCUUUCAAUUGGCUAUCAUCCCUUACUUUAACCAAAAUAGAGCCACGAUUUCUUCCAGGAAAUCCCAAGAAAAAGAAACAAACAAACACUUUUCCUAUAUUUCUGUCAAUGCCUCAUUGGUUGCCUGCUGCUCUAAAAGUGCUAGGCUAAGCGGAAGUCACCCAUGCCAUACUCCCAGGAAAAGCUCGAUAAGAGUGAGUCUCUCUUUCCUAAGAGCUGAUGGAAACCCGAGCUCGAAGUGGUGAAUCAGCGGACUUCCUCGGACGAGGCCCCAGUUUACGUGAGCACAUUAUGAUGAUGCUUAAGAGGGCUACUUUUGGCGCUGGUUCAUAAAACGAUGAUUCCUUCUUAUUCCUUUUUGAAGCAGAAAGGUAGAUCAGGAUCAACAAGCUCUCUGUCUGUCAUAGGAAAGUACUUUUGGGCUACUGAAGCUGCUAGCUUUCCCUUUCCCAUACAAGCCCGCAAGUCCACACCGUAUAGAGCCAUCUUAUAAACCCCAACACACACGCCAAUCAGUACUGCACCCGGGUUUCCCGAACUUCUAUUUUGACUACAGGCACUACCGGGCAACCACGGCAAUAUCGGCUCCAAACCGAUUGAUUGACCAAUGCCGCCGUCUUGUCACCGCUGUUCCCGAUCUUGUAGCAGCAUCCUAGAGAGGUGGAGCUAACCUGAACUUAGGAAUAGGUGUACAUCGGGUCCUCUAAUCUCAAGCAUAAAACCACAGCCCGCCGCUCCCUAUAAGCCGUUACACUGACGCCUUGUGAUCCUCACAGUCUUUUUGUUGCGUUGCCAUAAUGAGAAAGGCUUAAUUGGUUAUUAGAUCACUCCAGGAUUAGAGGUCGAUGCCACCUAAACAGACUUCUCGAACAUCACUUAAUGAAAUAUGCUCGAGGAUUAGCUUUUUGAUUGAAACUUCCUCUUGAGUUCUUGAGUGACAUUCUUUUUAGUUCAAGUAAUAGAAAAGAAUUGAUAGUAAUCUAUACUUCUUUCUUGGCCUCGGUAAGGUUUAGGCUUUUUAAGACAGACCUCUAGAAUGGGUAGUGCCUUCCUCGUAGUUGCCAUAGGUAUGUAGAGUAGCCGAGCCUCAUUCAAUUCAAUUAGCACUUUUGUUUGUUGCCAGUUGCCCUAGUAUUAUAGAGUUUGAGUACACCACCAGUAGGAAAGGAAUAAGGUCACUAACCACCCGAGUCUAGUGCUAGUGCUCCUUCCUUUCUGAAUAGAGUAUAAGUGGAAAAGUCAGAAAUCAACUCUACAGUGGGAAAGUCAGAAGUCAUCCAUUAAUUCAGAAUUGACCUCAUACCGCCUACCAUGUGCUCUUGAUUUAAAGAAUGAAACUAGAAAGUAGGAAAGCAAGAAGUCACCACAAAAGUGAGAAUGAAACCAAGAAGUCAAAUAGGCAAGCUACUCCUAAUGGACAAGUAACUGCUUUACAAACAAUGGCUACAAAUACUUCUUUCAACAAGCAGCUGGCUCCGCCAAGCACCGUAUACAAAGGCAAAAGAAGCUUCAAUUUCCAGUGACGUUAUAGUUUAAAGAUCCUUAGUAGGAACAGGCGAGUAAGUCAAAAGGUAUCCAGUUUCAAGUAGAGUUAGGAAAUUCAUCCAUUCCUGCUUCGUUCGCUUACUGCUUACUUUGACUUAGCGCUUCAAAGCCAGUACUGUACUUUCUUCUUCCUCGAACAGUACUACCUGGAUUCAGACUAUCAUUGCGGCGUGUGACUGAUUUCUUAGGCAGAGGAGAGGUAUGCCUAAUUCAGUUAAUAGUUCCGAUGGCAAGGAAGCACGUAAGGGUGUUGCAAUACAAGAUCAGAGGGAUAGAGGUGCCGAGAUGAAGCAGUUAUCCUUUCGAAAGAUAAGAUAGGCCAAUAGUAGGGAUAUGAUAGGCCAAGCAAGCAACUCCGACGAAGGGGCAAGCGGACAUACCUGAGUGCAAUUCCAAAUUGAGUGAAUAGUUUGAGUAGCCAGCUGCAGGGCUUGUUUGAUUCUCCGUUAGUGCUGAGGAAGCUAGUCCUUCUUUUGGUGUUCGAGUUUGUGUAGUUCGGCUUGUCUGCUUUCCUGCUUGUCUGCUUGGCCGGUCGUUAUUCGUUGCUUGUUUAGUGGUGCCUCAAUUCGUUCUUCAGCCGUAAGCAAAGCAAUGUCAUCGUAUCCCCAGAAGCGUUGAUUAAGUGGAAAGUGAGCUAGCUCCACGAUAGAGUAUCAUUGUUUGCGAGUUGCCUUGCUUAUUCAUAGGAACGACAACUAAAGUCAUAGGACCGACAACUAAAGCACAGAACCUUACUCAGGAACUCACGUUAGCACUUCAGAAGAACAAAGAAGAGAAUUGAGGUGCGUAUAUAACUGUAAGCAAGUAAACUAACAGCUUUUCCUCCUUUCAAGACAAGACUCAGCUACGCUAAUGCACCAGCACCCUGGAAAGUAACAAAGACAUGUUUGCUCGAAGGGAAGAAUCACACUCACUAUAUCCGCGAACCGAGAAAAACUGGAACUAACAUAACUCCGUUAGCUAUAAGUCACUCGCGUUAGCGCAACUGCUUCCAGCUUUCAUGGUCCUCUCUUUAUGCCCUUGUUGACUUUCUUUUAUUCUUUGCCUGUUUCAAAUAAUCUACCUAGCAACUACAAUAUGGAUCUACCUAACAAAACGGAACUGCCAACUCUGCGGUAACCAAACGGAAACCAUAGUGAAUUGCUUCAAAUCAAACAAUCGUUAGCUUCAGUCUUAUAUGAUAUAGAUAAGUGUGGAAUCUCACUCCUGUGUGGAAUCCUAACUCCCGACUGCUUACUUAACUUAGCGGUAACCUCAGUCUAAACUAACUUAUUGCUUUGCUUCCUUUAGAACUAAGGCUUUCGAUCCACCCCCCCUUGCCUUGUUUGUUUGACUUGGUUAGAAACUAAGUUAGCACCCCGCUCGCUCCGUGGGUAAAUAAGCUAAUGCGCCUUGCUUGUUUCAUUUUGAUAUGAAUGCAAAGAUUCCUGACUAAUAUACUACGCCUCACUGCUUGUUGAAACCUAACUCCUUAAGCACGCACAACACUUUAAGCAAACUUGUUCCCUAGCUUGUUCAGCUAUCUACCUAUUGCUUGUUUAAUCAAAUAUGCACAUCCUAAUAUAGAAUCAAGUCACUUUACAGCCUAUUAGAUAAUGGACUCUCUGAAGAAUAAGGAAUUGGAUCUAGCUAUCCACAAUCAUAUGAUUUUAUGAAAGUGGAGAGUUUAGAGAAGAGAUAUGAGUAUAAUCAACAGACGCAUCAGAACGGAAAUGGAGAAAAUGUUAGUUAUGACUUGACUCAGGACGUAUAGGAAGCAAUAAUGGAUUAACAGAACCCCGUACUAUUCUCUUUCAAUGGCAAAGCCCGUUUUUUGCUAGGGGAUAGAAGCCAAGCUUGGUGGACGAAGCCCCCAUGUAGGGAUCGAUCAUUCUGGGCAAAUAUCUGAGGGAUCGAUCAUUCUGGGCUAAUAUAUUAUAAGAGAUAUUCGGCAUUCCAUACACAAUGUAUUAAUGCCCUAGUUGGAUUGAUUUCAUGAUUCAAAACCUGGGCUUCUUUCUUUUUCGUAUACCGAUAGUAAUCUUUUUCCGAAGCCCUAUAUUACCCCCUAGAUUAUUAAUGUCAAGCGAUUAUUAAUGUCAAGCGCGAAGAGGACAGGACCUACCUCAUUCUAAAGUUCACCAUUAUAAGAGGACAGGACCUACCUCAUUCUAAAGUUCACCAUUAUAUAUAUGUCAUUGAUCUUCUCUUUAGUUAAUCUGGAAGAAGGGCUCAUUCAUGUACAAUCCAGAGCGAGAAGGCAAGAAUAACAUCUCUUUUUUCACAUGGUAUUUCUAGGAAUAAGUAACUUCCACGAUCUUUGAGGAAAGGGUUGUAAUCUCUUCUUUAGAGUUGAAGCGAAUGAGUUUAAUGAUGAGGAAGAAUCUGUCUUCACGCAAAAAGCCUAUACUGUAGGUCGAGAGUGUUUUCCCUACCUCUCCCAUAGGUCGACUCCCGUUAGCACCCCAAGAAAUAAGCUCAAAGCGGUAGUGCGCCGAGCAAAGGCCAUUUUCAUAGUUCAUAUUUCUCCCUUUGGUUUUCCAAAGAGUCUUGCCUAAAGCAGGCCAUUCUCCUCGUUUCCGAGAGAUAGGAAGUACUAGCUUACAUGGACCCUCAAGUUCUCUUUCACUACUUUAGCUCAACAAUCGAAUAAGCACUAACGAGAACUCUAUAUGCUCAUACCAAGGCGCCGUGGUCUUUCUAAUGUCAAGAAUCAAUCAAAUCACAGAUCAUGAGAACUCUUUUUUCCACACAACGACUAAUCCUGAAAGACGACUCUUUCGUUUAAGGAGAAUUCCAAAAUACAGAAAUUGGAUUCGGAGAAAAUGAGGAUACCUGAAACACAAGGCCCGAUGGAAUUGAGCUUCUGCUGUCCCUACUAGUUCCGAUUGCUUUCUUGACUUCUGGAGAAGCAGCUCCUGUACUAAUCAAUUCUUCGGCGGUAAGGAAUAAAAUGCAAUAGAAUGCUUUUCUCAUAGAUAUUUGGACUCCUCUACUACUAUCAACCUUUCUUUCUCUAUAUACUUAUAGAUAGAUCUCUAUAUACUUAUAGAUAGACACAUGCAAUUAAGCUUAUAGAUAGACACAUGCAAUUAAGUUCUGCAAGAAUCAAGUCAUUGUGGAAUAAGACCAGUCUGAACUGUAUUUCUAUUUUGAUAUGAGAAAUUGUAUAGGUGAGUUGUACCUUUCGAAGCCCUAGGAGGUUCAUUGGAUCUAGUUUCCCGGUUUUCUUUGUUCUUCCUUUCUUUGUUUUGCAUGCGGCGUAGUUAAGGGUAGAAAAGAAAAGAUGUUGUUCAAGCAGGGUUCAGGAGAGAAUAACCAGUGAGAAAGUAAUCUACGAGAGGAGAGAGGUCAAUAGUGGAACAGAGCUUAAAGGACUUUCAAGCAAAAGUAGGUUCAAUAACAAUUGCUUAAAGUCAAUCUUUAGUGGGUUCAAUAACAAUUGCUUAAAGUCAAUCUUUCCCAGGGCGCGUAGCGUAGUAAGGCUUUAUUAAAGAUUUGCUUUUCGAUGGUUAUCCCCAUCCUCCCUAUCUUGUGCAGCUUAUCCAUUUCGGCUUUCAGAGUAUAAUAUUUGAUGUGUCAGGGCUAUAAUGGAGUUUCUAAUGGUCCCUAUUGCUAUUGGUAAAGGCUAGUAUCUAAUAAUGUGGAUAAGGGCUCAUUCAUGUAAAAUCCAUAGAUAGUGGGAAGGAAAGAAGAAGCUUGAUUACAAUCCAUAGCUGGAAGGAAAGAAUCCAGUGUUUUUUAGUCCCUAUUGCUAACAACGUAUAUCGGGAUCCCGGUGCCUAAAUGAUCUUCCUUAGAGUCCAAAGUCCGGUCCCUAUUGCUAACAACGUAUAUUGGUCUUUACUCUUCUUUCUAUUCAAAGAACUCAAUAAGAAUGUUAGUUUCUUCAGUUGUGCUAACGGAGCUCAUUAAGGCUUGCUUACCGGAGCUGCCAGAUACUCUACUUGUUGACUUUUUGCAGUUAAAGUGCAGAGGGAUUCUGGCCCUGUCCCUGUGCCUAGGUACGAUAGACUAAAAAGCAAUAGGCAACUUAUUUGAAUCAUAUGUAUUUCGCCCGACGCCGAUAUAUUCCAUUCAGAUAGUUUUUAGUGCUGUGUUUUUACGUUGUUUCUAUGAUAUAUGGGUAUAGCUCUCGUCCGGAUAGGCAAAUAUACGGGUAUAGCUCUGUUCCGGCUAAUAUAUGGGUAUAGCUCUGUUCUGGUCUUGACUCAAUCAUUUUCAUAGCACCUAUCUUGACUCAAUCAUUUUCAUAGCACCUAUGAGAUAAGAGAAGUCGGAUACUAACCUUAACACUGCUCGCAGAAGUGCACAUAAUAAAAUAAAUAGAAAUGCACCUAUAAGAGAAGUCGGAUACUAACCUAACACAGCUAUUAUAUUACUUAAGUAAGAGUGGAAUGGAAUUGAGCGACCACAUAGUCAGUAUAGAAUUUCUGAAAGACAAGAGCAUUGCUUCAAACCUAAUAGAGGAAUUAAUAUGGGCAUAGAACAAUAAAUAGAGGAGCGUAGCGACAUAGAACAAUAAAUAGAGGCGCGUAGCUAAAUAGAAAAUGAGUUGUUAUGUUAGGUUAGUGAGUGAUCGGUAUAGAAUGGAUUGGUAAUAUGACUAAGAUAUCUAUGCUCAUGUUGUUUGUUUCUUUUUGAUUGAGCUGUUCUGCUCCUAAAACUUAGUAAGAUUCUUUAUUCAAGCUCGUUAUUUCCUUUUCUCGAUCAUCAUCCCCUUCUAUAAAGGAAUAGGUCGAUAUUAGAAGCUAUAAUAACUCGGUCCAAUCUACUUAGUAGUCCUUCUAUUCCAGUGGCUCCUCUCCUCAAAGUGAAAUCUCUUUUUGCUUGCUUUUUCAUAGCUAUGUUUCGUACCUUUGUGAUUCUACUUUCCUUCUUCUGGAAAUGACGAAUGUAAGGAUGGCCUAUAUAUGGCUAGCAGCAAUUUCCCUACUUACUCAUCAAACCCGCCUAUCGGCUAAGCCGCCUUUCCCAACUCAAAUGGGUUCUGCCUUUCCCUACAAUCUCUUUUGUUGGCCUAUCCGCCGGCCGGAUGUUCGGACAGAUGAUAAAGAUUCCCUGCCUCCCACUUACGCAAUUGGUCUGUUUAGCAUUCCCUAUUCAUCUAGGUGACUUUUAGAAGUCCGUAAAGAGAUAAGUCUGUAAAGAAUCUAUGUUCAAGUGUUAUUACCGAGUGCAAGCAUCUUUCUGGGAAGGGUUCGCUUACGGGAAAUCUAGAAAAGGAGUGAGAGUUACCUUUCCAUUCACCUCACUUAACCGACCAUGUAAAGGCCCUUGAUAAGGCUUCUUUAACGU
rnacentral:lncRNA from 1 species